rnacentral:rRNA from 1 species
UACGUAGGCAGCGAGCGUUGUUCGGAAUUACUGGGCGUAAAGAGUGUGUAGGCGGUGCUCUAAGUUCGGUGUGAAAUCUCCUGGCUCAACUGGGAGGGUGCGCCGGAAACUGGAGUGCUUGAGCGUGGGAGAGGAAAGCGGAAUUCCUGGUGUAGCGGUGAAAUGCGUAGAUAUCAGGAGGAACACCGGUGGCGAAGGCGGUUCUCUGGGCAUUACCUGACGCUGAGGAGCGAAAGUGUGGGGAGCGAACAGG